CGCAUCUGUGCAUGCAGCAUAUCAAUAAGCGGAGGAAAAGAAACUAACAAGGAUUCCCUUAGUAACGGCGAGUGAAGCGGGAAGAGCUCAAAUUUGAAAUCUUCAAGGUUUUACCUUGACGAAUUGUAGUUUAAAGAAGUGUUUUCUGUUGAAGUUUUGGUAAAAGUUCUUUGGAAUAGGACAUCAUAGAGGGUGAGAAUCCCGUACUUGACCAUUAUUUUCAGCUGUGUGAUACACUUUCAAAGAGUCGGAUUGUUUGGGAAUGCAGUCCAAAAUGGGUGGUAAAUUUCAUCUAAAGCUAAAUAUUGGCGAGAGGCCGAUAGCGAACAAGUACCGUGAGGGAAAGAUGAAAAGAACUUUGAAAAGAGAGUUAAACAGUACGUGAAAUUGUCAAAAGGGAAGCGUUUGACACCAGUGUUGUUUUCUCGAAAAUCAAUUAAAAAGAGUUUGAUUUUGUUGUGUAUUGACCUUAACAGCUUGCAUUUCAAUUUUCUUGCUUUUUUUAAUGCACUUUUCGUUUAACAAGUCAACAUCAGUUUCUUUUGUUGUAAAAAGGUCAUUGGAAGGUGGCUUUCUUUUCGGAGAAAGUGUUUAUAGCCUUUGACUCCUGCAAUCGGAGAGACUGAGGUCUGCAGCGUAGAUCCUUCGGGGUUAGAUACAUUUGUGCUAAGUUAUAGCUUUUUAUAGACAACUUGUUGACUAUGAUUAGUCUUGUAGCUUACUCGCUUAUGCUAUUUUACCUACGCUUAGGAUGUUGACACACGCGCGUGCUCG
rnacentral:rRNA from 1 species